AACGAACGCUGGCGGCAGGCUUAACACAUGCAAGUCGAACGCUCUCUUCGGAGAGAGUGGCAGACGGGUGAGUAACGCGUGGGAAUCUGCCCAGGAGUGCGGAAUAACUCAUGGAAACGUGAGCUAAUACCGCAUACGCCCCUUCGGGGGGAAAGAUUUAUCGCUCCUGGAUGAGCCCGCGUCGGAUUAGCUAGUUGGUGGGGUAAUGGCCUACCAAGGCGACGAUCCGUAGCUGGUCUGAGAGGACGACCAGCCACACUGGGACUGAGACACGGCCCAGACUCCUACGGGAGGCAGCAGUGGGGAAUCUUGGACAAUGGGCGAAAGCCUGAUCCAGCCAUGCCGCGUGAAUGAUGAAGGCCCUAGGGUUGUAAAAUUCUUUCAGCGGGGAAGAUAAUGACGGUACCCGCAGAAGAAGCUCCGGCUAACUCCGUGCCAGCCGCCGCGGUAACAC
rnacentral:rRNA from 1 species